rnacentral:rRNA from 1 species
UACGUAGGGUGCGAGCGUUAAUCGGAAUUACUGGGCGUAAAGUGUGCGCAGGCGGCCGCGCAAGUCGAGUGUGAAAGCCCCGGGCUUAACUUGGGAAUUGCGCUCGAAACUACGUGGCUGGAGUGUGGCAGAGGAAGGUGGAAUUCCAGGUGUAGCGGUGAAAUGCGUAGAGAUCUGGAGGAACACCAGUGGCGAAGGCGACUUCCUGGACCAACACUGACGCUGAGGAGCGAAAGCCAGGGGAGCAAACGGG